rnacentral:rRNA from 1 species
GAUGAACGCUGGCGGCGUGCCUAAUACAUGCAAGUCGAGCGAACAGACGAGGAGCUUGCUCCUCUGACGUUAGCGGCGGACGGGUGAGUAACACGUGGAUAACCUACCUAUAAGACUGGGAUAACUUCGGGAAACCGGAGCUAAUACCGGAUAAUAUAUUGAACCGCAUGGUUCAAUAGUGAAAGACGGUUUUGCUGUCACUUAUAGAUGGAUCCGCGCCGCAUUAGCUAGUUGGUAAGGUAACGGCUUACCAAGGCAACGAUGCGUAGCCGACCUGAGAGGGUGAUCGGCCACACUGGAACUGAGACACGGUCCAGACUCCUACGGGAGGCAGCAGUAGGGAAUCUUCCGCACUGGGCGAAAGCCUGACGGAGCAACGCCGCGUGAGUGAUGAAGGUCUUCGGAUCGUAAAACUCUGUUAUUAGGGAAGACCAAAUGUGUAAGUAACUAUGCACGUCUUGACGGUACCUAAUCAGAAAGCCACGGCUAACUACGUG